rnacentral:rRNA from 1 species
UGCAAGUCGAGCGAACUGAUUAGAAGCUUGCUUCUAUGACGUUAGCGGCGGACGGGUGAGUAACACGUGGGCAACCUGCCUGUAAGACUGGGAUAACUUCGGGAAACCGAAGCUAAUACCGGAUAGGAUCUUCUCCUUCAUGGGAGAUGAUUGAAAGAUGGUUUCGGCUAUCACUUACAGAUGGGCCCGCGGUGCAUUAGCUAGUUGGUGAGGUAACGGCUCACCAAGGCAACGAUGCAUAGCCGACCUGAGAGGGUGAUCGGCCACACUGGGACUGAGACACGGCCCAGACUCCUACGGGAGGCAGCAGUAGGGAAUCUUCCGCAAUGGACGAAAGUCUGACGGAGCAACGCCGCGUGAGUGAUGAAGGCUUUCGGGUCGUAAAACUCUGUUGUUAGGGAAGAACAAGUACAAGAGUAACUGCUCGUACCUUGACGGUACCUAACCAGAAAGCCACGGCUAACUACGUGCCAGCAGCCGCGGUAAUACGUAGGUGGCAAGCGUUAUCCGGAAUUAUUGGGCGUAAAGCGCGCGCAGGCGGUUUCUUAAGUCUGAUGUGAAAGCCCACGGCUCAACCGUGGAGGGUCAUUGGAAACUGGGGGAACUUGAGUGCAGAAGAGAAAAGCGGAAUUCCACGUGUAGCGGUGAAAUGCGUAGAGAUGUGGAGGACACCAGUGGCGAAGCGGCUUUUUGGUCUGUAACUGACGCUGAGGCGCGAAAGCGUGGGAGCAAACAGGAUUAGAUACCCUGUAGUCCACGUCGUAAACGAUGAGUGCUAGU